UACGUAGGGUGCAAGCGUUGUCCGGAAUUAUUGGGCGUAAAGAGCUCGUAGGCGGUCUGUCGCGUCUGCUGUGAAAACUCACAGCUUAACUGUGGGCGUGCGGGGCGAUACGGGCAGACUGGAGUACUGUAGGGGAGACUGGAAUUCCUGGUGUAGCGGUGAAAUGCGCAGAUAUCAGGAGGAACACCGAUGGCGAAGGCAGGUCUCUGGGCAUUAACUGACGCUGAGGAGCGAAAGCAUGGGGAGCGAACAGG
rnacentral:rRNA from 1 species